rnacentral:rRNA from 1 species
GAUUAAGUUAUUAAGGGCGCACGGUGGAUGCCUUGGCACUAGAAGCCGAUGAAGGACGUUACUAACGACGAUAUGCUUUGGGGAGCUGUAAGUAAGCUUUGAUCCAGAGAUUUCCGAAUGGGGAAACCCAGCAUGAGUUAUGUCAUGUUAUCGAUAUGUGAAUACAUAGCAUAUCAGAAGGCACACCCGGAGAACUGAAACAUCUUAGUACCCGGAGGAAGAGAAAGAAAAUUCGAUUCCCUUAGUAGCGGCGAGCGAAACGGGAAGAGCCCAAACCAACAAGCUUGCUUGUUGGGGUUGUAGGACACUCUAUACGGAGUUACAAAGGACGACAUUAGACGAAUCAUCUGGAAAGAUGAAUCAAAGAAGGUAAUAAUCCUGUAGUCGAAAAUGUUGUCUCUCUUGAGUGGAUCCUGAGUACGACGGAGCACGUGAAAUUCCGUCGGAAUCUGGGAGGACCAUCUCCUAAGGCUAAAUACUCUCUAGUGACCGAUAGUGAACCAGUACCGUGAGGGAAAGGUGAAAAGCACCCCGGAAGGGGAGUGAAAUAGAACCUGAAACCGUGUGCUUACAAGUAGUCAGAGCCCGUUAAUGGGUGAUGGCGUGCCUUUUGUAGAAUGAACCGGCGAGUUACGAUUUGAUGCAAGGUUAAGCAGUAAAUGUGGAGCCGUAGCGAAAGCGAGUCUGAAUAGGGCGUUUAGUAUUUGGUCGUAGACCCGAAACCAGGUGAUCUACCCUUGGUCAGGUUGAAGUUCAGGUAACACUGAAUGGAGGACCGAACCGACUUACGUUGAAAAGUGAGCGGAUGAACUGAGGGUAGCGGAGAAAUUCCAAUCGAACCUGGAGAUAGCUGGUUCUCUCCGAAAUAGCUUUAGGGCUAGCCUCAAGUGAUGAUUAUUGGAGGUAGAGCACUGUUUGGACGAGGGGCCCCUCUCGGGUUACCGAAUUCAGACAAACUCCGAAUGCCAAUUAAUUUAACUUGGGAGUCAGAACAUGGGUGAUAAGGUCCGUGUUCGAAAGGGAAACAGCCCAGACCACCAGCUAAGGUCCCAAAAUAUAUGUUAAGUGGAAAAGGAUGUGGCGUUGCCCAGACAACUAGGAUGUUGGCUUAGAAGCAGCCAUCAUUUAAAGAGUGCGUAAUAGCUCACUAGUCGAGUGACACUGCGCCGAAAAUGUACCGGGGCUAAACAUAUUACCGAAGCUGUGGAUUGUCCUUUGGACAAUGGUAGGAGAGCGUUCUAAGGGCGUUGAAGCAUGAUCGUAAGGACAUGUGGAGCGCUUAGAAGUGAGAAUGCCGGUGUGAGUAGCGAAAGACGGGUGAGAAUCCCGUCCACCGAUUGACUAAGGUUUCCAGAGGAAGGCUCGUCCGCUCUGGGUUAGUCGGGUCCUAAGCUGAGGCCGACAGGCGUAGGCGAUGGAUAACAGGUUGAUAUUCCUGUACCACCUAUAAUCGUUUUAAUCGAUGGGGGGACGCAGUAGGAUAGGCGAAGCGUGCGAUUGGAUUGCACGUCUAAGCAGUAAGGCUGAGUAUUAGGCAAAUCCGGUACUCGUUAAGGCUGAGCUGUGAUGGGGAGAAGACAUUGUGUCUUCGAGUCGUUGAUUUCACACUGCCGAGAAAAGCCUCUAGAUAGAAAAUAGGUGCCCGUACCGCAAACCGACACAGGUAGUCAAGAUGAGAAUUCUAAGGUGAGCGAGCGAACUCUCGUUAAGGAACUCGGCAAAAUGACCCCGUAACUUCGGGAGAAGGGGUGCUCUUUAGGGUUAACGCCCAGAAGAGCCGCAGUGAAUAGGCCCAAGCGACUGUUUAUCAAAAACACAGGUCUCUGCUAAACCGUAAGGUGAUGUAUAGGGGCUGACGCCUGCCCGGUGCUGGAAGGUUAAGAGGAGUGGUUAGCUUCUGCGAAGCUACGAAUCGAAGCCCCAGUAAACGGCGGCCGUAACUAUAACGGUCCUAAGGUAGCGAAAUUCCUUGUCGGGUAAGUUCCGACCCGCACGAAAGGCGUAACGAUUUGGGCACUGUCUCAACGAGAGACUCGGUGAAAUCAUAGUACCUGUGAAGAUGCAGGUUACCCGCGACAGGACGGAAAGACCCCGUGGAGCUUUACUGUAGCCUGAUAUUGAAAUUCGGCACAGCUUGUACAGGAUAGGUAGGAGCCUUUGAAACGUGAGCGCUAGCUUACGUGGAGGCGCUGGUGGGAUACUACCCUAGCUGUGUUGGCUUUCUAACCCGCACCACUUAUCGUGGUGGGAGACAGUGUCAGGCGGGCAGUUUGACUGGGGCGGUCGCCUCCUAAAAGGUAACGGAGGCGCUCAAAGGUUCCCUCAGAAUGGUUGGAAAUCAUUCAUAGAGUGUAAAGGCAUAAGGGAGCUUGACUGCGAGACCUACAAGUCGAGCAGGGUCGAAAGACGGACUUAGUGAUCCGGUGGUUCCGCAUGGAAGGGCCAUCGCUCAACGGAUAAAAGCUACCCCGGGGAUAACAGGCUUAUCUCCCCCAAGAGUUCACAUCGACGGGAGGUUUGGCACCUCGAUGUCGGCUCAUCGCAUCCUGGGGCUGUAGUCGGUCCCAAGGGUUGGGCUGUUCGCCCAUUAAAGCGGUACGCGAGCUGGGUUCAGAACGUCGUGAGACAGUUCGGUCCCUAUCCGUCGUGGGCGUAGGAAAUUUGAGAGGAGCUGUCCUUAGUACGAGAGGACCGGGAUGGACAUACCUCUGGUGUACCAGUUGUCGUGCCAACGGCAUAGCUGGGUAGCUAUGUGUGGACGGGAUAAGUGCUGAAAGCAUCUAAGCAUGAAGCCCCCCUCAAGAUGAGAUUUCCCAACUUCGGUUAUAAGAUC